rnacentral:rRNA from 1 species
AUUGAACGCUGGCGGCAGGCCUAACACAUGCAAGUCGAGCGGAGCGGCGGACGGGUACGUAAUGCCUAGGAAUCUGCCUGGUAGUGGGGGAUAACGUCCAGAAACGGGCGCUAAUACCGCUUACUAUCAGAAUCACCUAGGUCGGAUUAGCUAGUUGUUGGGGGAAAGGCCUCCCAAGGCGACUACCCGUAACUGGUCUGAGAGGAUGAGCAGUCACACUGGAACUGAGACACGGUCCAGACUCCUACGGGAGGCAGCAGUGGGGAAUAUUGGACAAUGGGCGAAAGCCUGAUCCAGCCAUGCCGCGUGUGUGAAGAAGGUCUUCGGAUUGUAAAGCACUUUAAGUUGGGAGGCGUUACCAACAGAAUAAGCACCGGCUAACUUCGUGCCAGCAGCCGCGGUAAUAC